CUUCACGAAUCGCAUGGCUCUACGCCGGCGAUGUUUCAUUCAAAUUUCUGCCCUAUCAACUUUCGACGGUAGGGUAGUGGCCUACCGUGGUGGUAACGGGUGACGGAGGAUUAGGGUUCGAUUCCGGAGAGGGAGCCUGAGAAACGGCUACCACAUCCAAGGAAGGCAGCAGGCGCGCAAAUUACCCAAAUCCCAACUCGGGGAGGUAGUGACAAGAAAUAACGAUGCUCCGACCAACGGUCGGGUAAUCGGAAUGAGAACAAUUUAAAUCCCUUAUCGAGGAUCAAUUGGAGGGCAAGUCUGGUGCCAGCAGCCGCGGUAAUUCCAGCUCCAAUAGCGUAUAUUUAAGUUGCUGCGGUUAAAAAGCUCGUAGUCGGAUUUCGGGUGGGUCCUGCCGGUCCGCCUCUGGUGUGUACUGGUAGGCGCCACCUUUCUGCCGAGGACGGGCUCCUGGGCUUAAGUGCCUGGGACCCGGAGUCGGCGUUGUCACUUUGAGUAAAUUAGGGUGUUUAAAGCAGGCUUAUGCUCUGAAUACACUAGCAUGGGAUGACACGAUAGGACUUCGGUCUAUCUUGUCGGUCUGUAUACCGGAGUAAUGAUUAAGAGGGACAGUCGGGGGCAUUCGUAUUUCGUAGUCAGAGGUGAAAUUCUUGGAUUUACGGAAGACGAACUUCUGCGAAAGCAUUUGCCAAGGAUGUUUUCAUUGAUCAAGAACGAAAGUCGGGGGCUCGAAGACGAUUAGAUACCGU
rnacentral:rRNA from 1 species